rnacentral:rRNA from 1 species
CCUACGGGGGGCUUCAGUGGGGAAUAUUGGACAAUGGGGGCAACCCUGAUCCAGCCAUGCCGCGUGUGUGAAGAAGGCCCUCGGGUUGUAAAGCACUUUCAGUGAGGAAGAACGCCUGGUGGUUAAUACCCAUCAGGAAAGACAUCACUCACAGAAGAAGCACCGGCUAACUCCGUGCCAGCAGCCGCGGUAAUACGGAGGGUGCGAGCGUUAAUCGGAAUUACUGGGCGUAAAGCGCGCGUAGGUGGCUUGAUAAGCCGGUUGUGAAAGCCCCGGGCUCAACCUGGGAACGGCAUCCGGAACUGUCAAGCUAGAGUGCAGGAGAGGAAGGUAGAAUUCCCGGUGUAGCGGUGAAAUGCGUAGAGAUCGGGAGGAAUACCAGUGGCGAAGGCGGCCUUCUGGACUGACACUGACACUGAGGUGCGAAAGCGUGGGUAGCAAACAGGAUUAGAUACCCGUGUAGUC